UGAUUGCCUCCAGUGGUGUUUCUUCACUCUUGUCUUUUAUCACCCAAAUACAAAACAUGCUUCCUCUCAAAGUGCUCCUCUUGAGUCUGACUUUUCAUAAACUCUUUGACAAUUUGGAUGCGGCAUUCUCUUGUCCAAUAGGCCAGCGGAUACAUUUGUGCAACAGAAACCAGAAAUGUUGUCAAGCUUGUCCUGAUGGAUAUUACCAGCCUGAAGAGAACCACUCCAAACAGUGCAAACCGUGCACACGGUGUAACGAAGCGUCGGGAAGUGAAGUGAUAAAGAAAUGCACAAAACAGAUAGACACACAAUGCCGGUGCCGAGGUGGAUUCAGUCCUGUGGAGCUUGAUUCUGCUACCUGUGAAUGUGCCCUUGGGUUUGGGUUAAAGCAGGGAGAAUGCUCUAAAUGUGAACAUGGAUUUUUUAGCCCACGUCCAAAUUCCCCUUGUUCCAAAUGGAAAGAGUGUAAGUCCGGCGUGAACGUGAAUGGCAGCAGCACCUCUGACAUGCUCUGCAAUGGCGAACCAAAGACACCAAACACUACGAUGUCUGUCGUCACAAAUGUAAAACUCCACCGUCCACAAAGUCCUGACCAUAUUCAUCAUAAUCAUGAUAUCACCAAGGCUACCACAGAUCAUUAUGUCCCCUCCAAGGACAACAUGCAGCCAACCCAACCUCCAAACAUCACCCGCCACCACGUUGGCAUUUCCUUCGUCAUCUUUGCAAUUGUUGGACUGCUUGUUUUGACUGUGGUGACGUGUAAAAUGCACGUUAAUCCUUGCAUGAGAAGACAGCCAACGGUGCAACGGUUCCAAUAUUUCCUGAAGUUAAACUCAUGACGCAUUAAGUUGAACAUUGCGGACACCUUUAUUACUGGAUACUUGCUAAUACGCUUCUGCCAUGGAGACUAUGUGAGUCAAUCAACUCAUUGUGUCGAAGGCCCGUAGAAGAAAGCGGGGAUGGCAGUCGCUCCGCUCUCAAAAUUAUUCCAGAAGAUGUGUAAUCCAACUUCACCGCAUUUAGAUUUUUUUUUUUGUUAUACACAUUAUCCACCAUAUGAUUUGAUGAGUAAAUACUGUGUGAAAUGACAUGUCGUAUUUCACUUACUUGCUCACAUACUACAAACCCUGUUUCCAUAUGAGCUGGCAAAUUGUGUUAGAUGUAAAUAUAAACGGAAUACAAUGAUUUGCUAAUCCUUUUCAACCCAUAUUAAUUUGAAUGCACUACAAAGACAACAUAUUUGAUGUUUGAACUGAUAAACAUUUUUUUUUUUGCAAAUAAUCAUUAACUUUAGAAGUUGAUGCCAGCAACACGGGACAUAAAGUUGGGAAAGGUGGUAAUAAAUACUGAUAAAGUUUAUGAGUUUGAACAUCAAAUAUCUUGUCCUUGUAGUGCAUUCAACUGAUAUGGGUUGAAAAGGAUUUGCAAAUCAUUGUAUUUACAUCUAACACAAUUUCCCAACUGAUAUGGAAACGGGGUUUGUACUUUACCAUGAAUUGAUUAACGUGGACCCCGACUUAAACAAGUUGAAAAACGUAUUCGUGUGUUACCAUUCAGUGGUCAAUUGCUCGGAAUAUGUACUGAACUGCGCAAUCUACUAAUAAAAGUUUCAAUCAAUCAAUCAAUCAAACAUAAAACUGUACUGGCUGCCUGUUAAUGUUGAUAGCGUUUACAAUACAAUAUAUUG